CUGUUUCUAUUUGUUAAAAAUAUGCCAUUCUUAUUUAGUCAUAUGUAUAUUAUCAUAAUAUUACUUCUACUCUCCAUUAACUUGCUGUCCCUUCAUCUGCCAUGCUGAUCCUAAGUGCUGCAUCAAUCUGCCUCAUCUUCCUUCUUGUACGAGUGACAGAUGAAGUAGGAACUGAGACGACCACCCAAGUCAAUCUGCCUACCAGCACCAAGUUCACCUGUAUGAUCACACAGCUUCACUCAGACGUCAUCAAAACCAAACAGCCAUUGGGGGGCAGACACUGAGCUUCACACUUCAUGAGAAAAUGACAAAUUCCAACAGGAUGUUCACAACAAACAGCUCUAUAGACUUCACCACGGCAGACCAGAGAACGCGGUUCACCUGUGUGGUCACUCACAUGGAAAAUAUGACUGCGGCCGACAGCAUCCCGCUGUCUUCAGGUCCUGGUGCCCGAUUGUGGGUCAUCUUCAUUUUGGUAAAGUUGGGUCUGUUUGUGAUGAUCAACGCUUUCCUUUUUU